UCGAGAGCAUUGGUUGCCCUCUUUUCGGGGAGAAGUUCGUUUCCGGGUGUGUGAUUUUCUCGGUUGACUUCCGGUGUUUCCGGGGAAAAUGUAACACAAUUUUUGGCUCACGUGCGUCUCAACCGUUGUUAGCUCGCGACUGUAUUUGUCUGAAUGUUUGUUUGUUUGUGUUUGUGUGCGCUGAAAUAUGUGUCAUUCGAAACUACCUACUAGAGCUAGUGCAAGGGAAAUGAAUUACGAAGUUGGUACCGGACCGGAAACGGAAACGGGCGCAAGGCAGAACCGAGGAUCUGCUAGUGGAACCGUUGUUCUAGUUGAUGGAUGAGGUGCUUACUUGGUGUUCUGUUAGUAGUACUUUUUCGGAGCCCCCCCGGCAAGGAUGAGAUGACUGGAAUGAAUGCUCAGACCCAGGCAGCGCAGCGUGGAAGGAUUACGACGGUUGUGAAAGUGUAGUAAAUUCCACCAACUGAGGUUGGAUUGCAGAAAAACAUCCAGUGAUCUAAUAACAGUAUUAUCAACCUGGCUUGUAUAGUUGAACAAAGACAGGAUCGCUUCUUUGAAAAUAGCAUAUUAUUAGCAGAAGACUGGUAGAGCAAGUCAAUGAGAAAGCACUCACCCAACAUCUCCAACGAGAAGAGUUCUUUUGUUUAGAUCUAAGAACGAAAUAGGAUUUAACAAAGCACAAGAUCAAUUUACAAAGUGAAAGAUGAUACACAAUCGCACUGAUAUUGCGACAGUGAACAAGAAACAAUAUAAAUUCUGAAGUCACAUAAAAGUUGCAGCGAGAUACAUUGAAAUUGGAUCAAAUAAAAAAAGGGAAAAAACCAAACACAGACUAUGCUACACAGGCGACGAUUGCCGGCUAGUGGCAGUCCAUUGUGGUCCUCGAUAUUGGCCCUGGUCGUGUUGCUACCGGUCGAUGGAACCGGAAACCGAACGUCCAGCUUGCCGUCGCUAUCGGCAUCAUCAUCAGCUUCCUCUAAGAACACCGCUAAGUGGGUCACCGGGGGUUUGCAGUUUGCAGCUGCCGCCGUUGCUAGUGCGGAAGUCGGCACCGGAAGCGGAAGUGUAGAAGUGACAGCAUUUAAUGACGCUGCGGCCGCCGAUGGGGGAAAAGUUUCGGCUUCGGAGUUUCUACCGGCGGCAGGGAAUUUGGUGGGCGGAAGUGCGGAAGGAACCGGCAAAGGAUACCA